rnacentral:rRNA from 1 species
AUGUGGAACGGGACGUCCAUGAGAUGGGGCUGCCUUCACCUCCGCCCCACCCUUCCAUGUGGCUCGCUCAGCUGCCAGCCGACCGUGAUGGAUGCGGUGGCGAGGACGACCGGCAGCCCCCUGGUGAGGUUUGACCAAAGGAUGGAUGUGUUUGCUGAAACAAAGUUGCAAAGAGAUGGCAUCGAGUUGAGUACAGGAUUCAGAGUGAUAAAGGUCUCUGAUGAUUUGAUUGCAGUGAAGUACAAAUCAUCUGGUGGAGAAUCAUUGGUGCCAUAUGGGAUGGUCGUUAACAUCUCAUCGAACUAUCGGUGUUCCUUUGUUUUUGGAUGCAUGAUCGGAGGACGAACCUGUCGUACUCGCAGCAUGUGUCGCUGGUGUACACGCCGGUGCCGCCAAGAAGGUGACACCCUUCUUUCUUCAUUUUGGCACUUAGCUUCUUGGACGUGGGGAUUUGUUGCAUUAAUUAUAGUGAUGGUUGAUGAUGUUUUAGUUUUCCUGUAUGCUUUUUAA